AAGAACACUGUUCUUGAGACUGUUCCUUCUCUCAUAUAACUUGAAACCUUGUUUCUUUGGUGCUGUUUUGAUUGGAGGUAUGUUGAAGUUUCUUGUUGGAUGUUGAGGUAGAUCUUGAUUUGGUCUUGUUGUGGUUGAGGUUGUUGUUGUUGUCGUUGUGGUGGUCGAGGUUGUUGUUUCUGAUGAACCUGUUAACAUUUGAACAACUUGUUUGAAAGUUGUUGUAUCAGCUUGAACAAAGGUUGUAGGGUAAGGAUUUGAAUCAGAUCUAGGGAUUGUUUUUGG
rnacentral:lncRNA from 1 species